rnacentral:rRNA from 1 species
AUACGGAGGGUGCAAGCGUUACUCGGAAUCACUGGGCGUAAAGCGCGCGCAGGCGGCCUGAUAAGUUGGAUGUGAAAGCCUACGGCUCAACCGUAGAACUGCAUCCAAAACUGUCAGGCUCGAGUGUGGGAGAGGAAGAUGGAAUUAGUUGUGUAGGGGUAAAAUCCGUAGAGAUAACUAGGAAUACCAAAAGUGAAGGCAAUCUUCUGGAACACUACUGACGCUGAGGCGCGAAGGCGUGGGGAGCAAACAGGAUUAGAAACCCUAGUAGUCC